rnacentral:rRNA from 1 species
GAUGAACGCUGGCGGCGUGCCUAAUACAUGCAAGUCGAGCGAACAGACGAGGAGCUUGCUCCUCUGACGUUAGCGGCGGACGGGUGAGUAACACGUGGAUAACCUACCUAUAAGACUGGGAUAACUUCGGGAAACCGGAGCUAAUACCGGAUAAUAUAUUGAACCGCAUGGUUCAAUAGUGAAAGACGGUUUUGCUGUCACUUAUAGAUGGAUCCGCGCCGCAUUAGCUAGUUGGUAAGGUAACGGCUUACCAAGGCAACGAUGCGUAGCCGACCUGAGAGGGUGAUCGGCCACACUGAAACUGAGACACGGUCCAGACUCCUACGGGAGGCAGCGGUAGGAAAUCUUCCGCAAUGGGCGAAAGCCUGACGGAGCAACGCCGCGUGAGUGAUGAAGGUCUUCGGAUCGUAAAACUCUGUAUUAGGGAAGAACAAAUGUGUAAGUAACUAUGCACGUCUUGACGGUACCUAAUCAGAAAGCCACGGCUAACUACGUG